rnacentral:rRNA from 1 species
CCUACGGGUGGCAGCAGUGGGGAAUAUUGCACAAUGGGGGAAACCCUGAUGCAGCGAUGCCGCGUGAGUGAAGAAGGAUUUCGGUAUGUAAAGCUCUAUCAGCAGCGAAGAAAGUGACUGUAUCUGAUUACGAAGCCCCGGCUAACUACGUGCCAGCAGCCGCGGUAAUACGUAGGGGGCAAGCGUUAUCCGGAUUUACUGGGUGUAAAGGUAGCGGAGACGGCAGCACAAGUCUGGAGUGAAAUGCCGGGGCUUAACCUCGGAACUGCGUUGGAAACUGGGCAGCUAGAGUGCAGUAGAGGGAAGUGGAAUUCCUAGUGUAGCGGUGAAAUGCGUAGAUAUUAGGAGGAAUACCAGUGGCGAAGGCGGCUUACUGGAA